UGAGUAACAUGGCAGAAGCAGCUGUGGUGUAUUUCAGUACAUUAUGGCGUUUUCUAACAUUUCCAUUGACUCGUUAAAGAAGAAAAUCGAUGAGGUUCGCCGGUUUCUUUCUGUAUCAUUACGCAUCGCGAACGCGCACACUGUAGAUUUCUAUACACGCGGUGUUUGGGGCGCGUUCAUGGCUGUGGAUCCUGAGGAGGUUUUAAGUGCUGUUAAUUCCACUCGUGACCACACGGGGGCACCAGAAGUGAACAUGAGUUUCGGGUUCUGCGAUGCCAGUAAGAAGCUGGUGGAUGUGUCGGCUCUGCUGAGGGCGGCUGAAGCUCACUCUCUGCCAGGCCUGGGAGUCUGUGUGCAGCGGCAGACACUGAUGGACACGCUGAGAGUUUUGGGCAGAGACACUCAAGAUGGGACGUCAUGUGGACCUCUGCUACCUGAUGAGUUCAUGAACUCUAAGAAGGCUCAUGAGGUGCCAGCUAUGGCUGAAGUGGUGGCUGCUUUAUCCAGAUGCUGCAAAGUCAAACAGGUUAUAGAUGUGGGCUCAGGUAAAGGUUACCUGUGCUCUUUCCUCUCCAUGCAGUACAACCUGGAGGUGUUUGGCAUCGACUGCUCCAGCACAAACACGCGUGGUGCUCAGGAGAGGAACAGGAAACUAAAGAAGUUUUCCAGAGCUUACCAAAAGCACUGGAAAGUCAGGAGUAACCAGGAAGUUCUAAAUAAAGAAAUGAGAGAUAAGAAAGAUGAUGAUGAUGAACAAGAAGAGAGAAUGCAAAGCCAUCAGAGAUCCAGAGAGGAGGACGAUGGCGCAGAAGAGAGAGAAAUGAAAACGCAUGCCACAAUCGACAGAAAUAAUCACAUGACUGAAGCGCAGUGCUCUUCUUCAACACAUCUGGACACGGAUGCUCUCUCUGCCUUGAGUGGCUCCAUAGGAUCAGAAUCAACAAAUGAUGAUUUCGAGAACCCUUUUUUCACAACGUUAGCACCUGAAGUUGUGGAGCAAGCCUCCUGUCGGGUUUCCCCCAGCCAGCUGAGUGCGGAGGAGAGAGAGAGGAGGAAGAGAGAGAACCUCGAGAGGAAGGCACGGCAUGGAAAAGGCAACAGUGACCCCAAAAACCUGUACUCACCUCUGACAUCUUACGUGACAGCAGAAACAGAGCUCAGCACACUGAUUACAGAGCUGGAGGAUGCGGUCAUGGUGGGCUUGCAUACGUGUGGAGAUCUAGCUCCCAGCACACUGCGCAUGUUCGAGGCCAAACAGGAGCUUCAGGCCGUGUGCAGCGUAGGCUGUUGCUACCAUCUCCUCUCUGAGGAGUUUGAUGAAGAUGCACAGGACGAGCUUGACAACGGAGUCUCCAGUCGUCUCGAUCCUCCAUACAUCUGGCCAGUUCCCCAGAACUCUCCACUCCUGCGUCUCUCCUCAGCACGUCCACGUAUGUUGGGGUGGGACGUCCUCGUGCCCGUCCCCCAUGUGCUGGCUCCCAUAGCACCAGUCUACUGGCUGGGAGCUCUCGAUGUCUAUGGUAGUGACCAGCAAGCUUCAUCCUCCUUGAUGGCACUUUCUCACUGAGCUUUGCACCUUAAGAGCAAGCCUGUGGCGACGGUGGCAAGGGAAAAACUCCCUCAGACGACACGAGGAAGAAACCUCGAGAGGAACCAGACUCAAAAGGGAACCCAUCCUCAUUUGGGCAACAACAGAUAACAUGACUAUAACAUUAACAGUUUUAACAUGAAGUCAGUUUUGUUGAUGUUAAAAACUCUUCAUUGAUGGAAACUUGAGUGCAAAACUGUUCAUGACAACUGCAGUCCUAAAGUUAGCAAGUCAACUGUAGUCCUCAGCCAUAAAAGUAUUACUGUAAGUGUCCAGAGCGUCUUCCAAGUGUGACUUUCAACAGUCCAUACGGGGCCGUCCUCCACAGGUAUAAACUCUGUAAAGUCGUACUGGCUAACACUGCAGCAGUAGUUUUUGUAGCAGUAGUUUCAGUGUCACAAGCUCUGCCUCAUGGAAUGUCUUAUUGAAUGUCUUAUGGACCAUCUCGUAGAGUGUUUCAUGGAGCAGGUCUUAGAGGAUGUCAUUGAGCAUCUCAUGGAGUUAGUCAUGGACUAUGUCAUGAAGCAUAUUAUGGAGUGUGUCAUGCAUGGCGCAUCUCAUGAAUCGGGCUAUGUUGUCAGAAUGUCAAACUGCCCAAACAGUUGUUGCAUGGAGAGCUGUGCCAAAGCAAGUGCUCAUCUGAUGGGCAGAAGAAACGCUUCAAGGACAAUCUCAAAGUGUCCCUCAAAACCCGAGAAAUUGAUCUCAACGCCUGGGAGUCGCUUGCUCAGGAUCGUCCAGCAUGGCGAGCAAAGCUCACCAUGUGGUGCAUGUGCAGCAGAGAUGAAAUGCAUCACUGAGGCCCAGAAGAAACGAGCUGCACGGAAGGCUCAAACUCUUGCCACCCCCACUACAGCACCCACCCACACGUGCCCAACAUGUGGGUGUACCUUCAAAGCCUGGAUUGGCCUCAUCAGUCACCUUUAGACCCAUGACCGCCACCCACCAAAUUAAAGUCAUGGUCAUCUUCGACCCCAAAGGACAAACAUCAUCAUCUCAUCUCAUGGAUUGUCUCAUGGAUCAUCUCAUGGACUAUCAUAUGUUACAUCUUGUGGCACAUCUCAUAGAGUAUCUGAUGGCACAUCAUGGACUGGCUUAUGAAGUGUCUUAUGAAACAUCUCAUCAAGCAUGUCACAUAGUAUCUAAUGGAGUGUCUCAUAAAGCAUGGACCAUCUUAUGGACUGUCUUACUGAGUGUCCCAUAGACAGUCUUAUAGAGCAUCUCAUGGACUGUCUCAUGGAGCAUCUUAUGGACUGUCUCAUGGAGCGUCUUAUGGACUGUCUCAUGGAGUGUUUCACAGACUAUUUGAUGGAGCAUCUCAUAGACCAUCUCACUGAGCACCUCAUGAAGUGUCUCAUGGAAUGUGUAUUAUCUUUUGUGCACCAAAAGCUUCAGUAUCCUGAAGGUUGCAGUCUGGUUGUCUCUCCUCAAUUCUGUAAUGUGAGAGUGGUGUGUAUGGAUUUCCCAUGAGCCAAUAUUUACGAGAGCAGACAUGCUUCUGCGGGCGGAACGCCAGAAUGUCUGC